rnacentral:lncRNA from 1 species
UUAGCUAAAAAACGUUAAUCCAAAGAAGCAAAAGUGGCUGGUGUGGUGCAAGUAAGAUGAUAUCGAUAUGAUCUAGUCUCAAUCACGUUCGUCGCAGUUGAAUGAUGAAAUUGUUUAUACAAAAGAACUGUUCGCAAAAUUUUUGGUUUGGAUACAAAAAUCCAAGUGAAAAUGAUAUUAAAAAGGUACACUUUCUUAUAUCUAAAAUUCAUUGCAGCUUUCUAUUCAUUUUUGUUUAUGUGUAUUUCAUCUGUGUUGCUAAUGAUAUUGCCAGUUUUUAUGAUUUUAUGUUGUUAAGUAAUGCAUCCUUAUGUUUCAGGCUAAAAUAGAGCUUUGAAAAACACUUUUUUCCAGUUUAAAUGAAUAAUAACUCUCAAGGUGUAUUAGCUAAAUUAUGGUUUCAAUGGGUUCAAAAAGAAGCAACCGCGCUGGAAACAUGAGUUGAUUAAAAGGAUCAGCCCUUUUUGAAUUAAUAGUCGCGCCAAGAAACAAAGCUCGCUCAAGAAACAGAAAAGAAAGAGAAAGAUGAAAAAUUAUUCUG